AGGGGAAUAACAGGGCAUUUCUUCUUUGGGAGAGAGUUGCAAACUUGCAAUGUGUUUAUUGUUAUUGUUGUUUACUCAUGCAAUUUCUGCCAAAGGAGAUUUGCCCUGCUAUUUUUCA
rnacentral:pre_miRNA from 1 species